rnacentral:lncRNA from 1 species
CAGCGGAAUGAAGUUCUUGAAAGUUGGAGGUUAUGCACGGUAGGUGUUUGAUAAAAGGUGCGAAUGUGUUUUGGAUGGAUUGUGGUGAUGAAGUCUAGCUCAGACAGCUUUCCUAAGGGGAAAGAAGCUAGAGGAUGCAAAGCUAAAUCUAGCAAAGAGUUUGAACUUGAGAGAAGUGGCUGAAUUUUGACAGCAUAACACUAAUUUCAUUCAAGUUGAGUUUACACAUGGUAGAGC